CUCUGCUGCAGGUCUGCUGGAGUUGGCAGGGGGUCCAAUCCAGACCCUGUUUGCCUGGAUAUCACCAGGGGAGGCUGCUGAACUGCAAAGAUUGCUGCCUGCUCCUUCCUUUGGAAGCUUUGUCCCAGACAGGCACCUCCCAGAUGCCACCUGGAGCUCUCUUGUAUGAGAUAAUCUUCUCAACGUCAAACAAAUUCUCUAAUUUAAUAGAAAAAAAAACAAGCAGAAGCAGAAGAAGAAGAGGAGGGACAAAAAAGAAAGUAAAUCCUACUUCUUUGAAGUUUAUGUUAUUCGACUAAAUUGAUUCAUAUCUUCCCCUCUACAAUUACUCAAGUCAUCAAGCCAUUGCUUUUGGUGAUUACUGUAUCCAUGCUAAUAACUCAUUCCACACCUUGCCCUCUUGGUUUCUGGCCUUUUUCAUUUCCUUCAAUAUUUCCUCCACUCCAAUACAGCUACCUACUCUCAUGACUAUAUCCUAGACCAUAUUGUCACAAACAACAUUAUCACUUCUGAAAUCUUUUUGAACAUUGUAUUCUAAAAACAUCGCCUAUAUUUCUGGUUCAUAGCUCUGCUUUUUCUCUGCUUUAAAUCUUUGACCUCAUUAUGUCAGAGGUGUUUGAACCAGAGCGACUCCAUCUUAACUAGUGGCUGGAUAAAACAAGGCUGAGACCUACUGGGCUGCAUUCCCAGGAGGAUAGGGAAUUCUUAGUCACAGGAUGAGAUAGGAGGUCAGCACAAGAUACAGUUCACAAAGACCUUGCUGAUAAAACAGGUUGCUGUAAAGAAGCCAGCCAAAACCCACCAAAAAACCAAGAUAGCAGCAAGAGUGACCUCUGGUCCUUGCUGCUCAUUAUAUGCUAAUUCUAAUGCAUUCGUAUGAUAAAAGACACUCCCACCAGCACCUUGACAGAUUGCAAAUGCCAUGGAAACAUUGGGAAGUUACCGUAUAUAGUCUACAAAGGGGAGGAACCCUAUUGCCCACCCUUUUCUGGAAAACUCAUGAGUAAUCUAUCCCUUGUUUAGCAUAUAAUUCAGAAAUAACCAUAAAAAUAGGCAGCCAGCAGCCCUCAGGGCUGCUGCGUCUAUGGAGUAGCCAUUCUUUUAUUCCUUUACCUUCCUAAUAAACUUGCUUUCACUUUCACAAAUUACAAAUGUUGCUCAUACUUACUCUAUAAUCCUACCACACUUCUUUAGUGAGAUCAGUUUUUCAUGUUUAAAAAUGUUUAUUUCAUAUGGUAUUCUCUCACACUAUCAAUGUCUACUAAUGCAUUUUCAAACUCAAUUGAUUACUCCAUUUCCUUAAGAAAAUAAGUCAUCAAACAAAAACUCAAUUAUCUUCAUGCAGCAAAUCUAUAAUGUAUCUGUAUUUUUAUUCAUCUUUUAUAUUGUCAAGUAAAAAAAUCAACUUAGGUAAAGCUAGGCUUUAUUCAAAAGGGAUUAUUAUGAUAAGUGAAGGGAGAGUAUUGUAAUAGGGAGAAGGUUCAGGCCAUGAGAUCUGCAAGAAUCUAAAAGGUCAGGGAGAAUAGAAUUUUAUUUUAUAAAGGUUAGAAAAAAGCUUGGAAAUAACUAGGUGUGAGGGAGUGGGCGUGAUUGCAAUGAGACAGUUGAUCAAGGAAUGUCUUUCCUUUUAGUCAGCUAAUUCUCAGGAGUGGCCAACACAGAAGGGUUGUUUGAUGGCUCAGGGUGAGGAUAGGUCAAAAUCAGGGUCCUGGAGAAGGAGAAAAGCAAAUUUAGUCAAAUCAGCUAAUAAGCAGUUUAUUUUAACUGAUCAGGAGAGACAAACAGUUCAACUAAUCUUUUAUGAGGCAAAUAGAAAUUCAGAUGGUCUGUGUCUGGCCUUAUCAUAGGUAAACAAGAGGGACAUGAUGAGUCUCAUCUAAGCCAUAAGGGGAUGGGUUGUUUCUUGCAGUAUGCCAUCUCCCAAAAUGCAAAAGUAUGAAGGAUUUUUGUAACCAUCGUUGUUUUCCAGUAGCAUAGGACUCUGGAAAAGUUCAAUAGUGUCAGUUAUAUUUGCAUCUAUUAGUAUAGAAGUGUCUUAAACUCAUUUGCUUGUGCUCUUAUCAACAUUCUCUUUCUAUCUACUAAAGAUUCCAUUGAUUACCCUUUCUCUCCUUCUUCAUAAAGAUCUCCCUCUCUACUAGAUUAUUUCUGUAAACUCACAGUCAUGCCCACAUAUAUCCAAUCUGAAAACAAGUCAAGGCAAACAAACAAACUCCUCAUCUGUCUUUGGCUAUGUCCAUAUUUCUCUUCUCCCCUGACCAUGCAGGCUACCUGCGUCAACUCAUAUUCAAUUUUGGACACUCUAAAAUAUGGAGUUCAUCCUUCUCCUUCUCUUGAAAUAAAUACUGACCUCCACAUUACCAUUUCUAAUGGAUAUUUUUAUUUCCUCAUCUUUCUGUAACUCUCAGCAGGAUUGGACACAGGGGACCACUCCUUUUAUCUUGAAAUACUGUUUAUCUCACUUUCCAGUUUAUCACACUUUCAUAUAUUUUCUCCAGCACCUCACUGGAAGUUCUUUUUCACUUUCCACAGUCAACUCCUCUUCUACACAAUUUCCAAAUACUACCAUCUUCAGGCAUUUUUCUAGGCCCUUUUUCACUGUCUAAUUGCUCCUUGUGUGACCUCAUCCAUUCCCAAGGUUUUAAAUGCCUUCUGUAUCCCAUUGAUUUCAAAUUUGUACUUCAAUCAAGAUGUCUUCUUCUGAGAGCUCUAGACUCAUAAACACAACUUUCAAAUUGACAUCUCUAUUUGGAUAUCAGAGGUUAAGAGAACUUCUUCAACAAUGUGACCCAGUUCUGCUGCUUCUGCUAAGACCUUUCAGAUAUCUUGACUACCAUUGUGCCACCACAGGCUCCAAAGAUUGAGACAUUGUUUUCAAGAUCAUUCUAAUACUUAAUUUAUAAAAUAUUGUUGAUGACCAUAAGUGAAAGGUCAUCAUAGGCAUCCCUGAUACUACUCUUUUAACCCUCAGUUGAGAGAACCAUGCUACAUACUCUGCCAUAGGAUGCCUGCUGUGUGAUUUUAUUCAUCCAGUCAAGUAGGAUGUCCUAAAAAAAGAAUCUAGUGUGAGAACUAAAAGUUGUCAGAAAAUUAAUGAUUUGAGACUCUCUCCACUAAAUUGUGGCAGUACCCAAAUUGUUAUCACAAAUGACACUUUUUCUUUUUCCUAAUUACAUCAUCAUAGACAUGAGAGUGAGUGUGUUUGUUUAUCUGAGACUAAAGACUUCUAAUUUUAGGAUUUGUAGAUUGUAGACAUUGUGAACCCUGAAAAUCUGAGACAGGCCUCAGUUAAUUUAGAAAGUUUAUUUUGCCAAAGUUGAGAAUGUGUGCCCAUGACACAGCCUUAGGUGGUCCUGACAACAUGGGUCCAAUGUGGUCAGAGCACAAUUUGGUUUUAUGUAUUCUAGGGAGACAUGAGAUAUCAAUCAACAUAUGCAAGAUGAACACUGAUUCCAUCUGGAAGGGCGGGACAACUUGAAGCAAAGGCAGGAAGACUUGAAGCCAGAAGGAGGCUUCCAGAUCAUAGGUAGAUAAGAGACCAAUGGUUUCAUUCUUCUGAGUUUCUGAUAAGCCUCUCCAAAGGAGGCAAUCAGAUAUGCAUUUAUCUCAGUGAACAGAGGGAUGACUUUGAAUAGAAUGGGAGGCACGUUGGCCCUAAGCAAUUCCCAGCUUGACUUUUCCCUUUAGCUUAUGGAUUUCGUGGCCCCAAGAUUUAUUUUCCUUUCACAACAUGUGUUCCUAGAUGUAACUUUGUUUGAUAUUAUUGUCUAAUAUCUAACAGGCAUCACAAGCCUAAAUGGGUGUAAAGAAAGAAAAUUCUCAAUUUCCUGUUACAAAUAUGGUCCCUCUCACAGUUUUCUCAGUCUCAAUAAUUAUUACAACUAUCUAAUUCAUCUACCCAAUUAAUAAAUAUCAAUAUAUGGAGGCCAUUCUCAAUAAAUUAAUUUCUCUUUUCACAUCCAGUUCAUCAGCAACUCAUGUCAUCUUUAUCUAAAAAAUACAUCUCUACCUCUCUUUGUAAUUGCUCUCCUAAAAAUGAUUACCUUAGUGGUCCUGUAAGGCCAUCUUUUUGAUGUUUUUCAUUGCUGUUGUUUGUUGUUUUCUUUUUUUUUUCUUCUUUUUUUUUUUUUCUGAGACAGAGUAUUGCUCUGUCACCCAGGCUGGAUUGCAGUGGGGCAAUCUCAGCUCACUGCAACCUCUGCU
rnacentral:lncRNA from 1 species